AAUCCAUAGGUUAAUGAGGCGAACCGGGGGAACUGAAACAUCUAAGUACCCCGAGGAAAAGAAAUCAACCGAGAUUCCCCCAGUAGCGGCGAGCGAACGGGGAGGAGCCCAGAGCCUGAAUCAGCAUGUGUGUUAGUGGAAGCGUCUGGAAAGGCGCGCGAUACAGGGUGACAGCCCCGUACACAAAAGCGCAUGUGCUGUGAGCUCGAUGAGUAGGGCGGGACACGUGGUAUCCUGUCUGAAUAUGGGGGGACCAUCCUCCAAGGCUAAAUACUCCUGACUGACCGAUAGUGAACCAGUACCGUGAGGGAAAGGCGAAAAGAACCCCGGCGAGGGGAGUGAAAAAGAACCUGAAACCGUGUACGUACAAGCAGUGGGAGCACAGGUUUACCUGUGUGACUGCGUACCUUUUGUAUAAUGGGUCAGCGACUUAUAUUCUGUAGCAAGGUUAACCGAAUAGGGGAGCCGGAGGGAAACCGAGUCUUAAUUGGGCGUUAAGUUGCAGGGUAUAGACCCGAAACCCGGUGAUCUAGCCAUGGGCAGGUUGAAGGUUGGGUAACACUAACUGGAGGACCGAACCGACUAAUGUUGAAAAAUUAGCGGAUGACCUGUGGCUGGGGGUGAAAGGCCAAUCAAACCGGGAGAUAGCUGGUUCUCCCCGAAAGCUAUUUAGGUAGCGCCUCGUGAAUUCAUCUCCGGGGGUAGAGCACUGUUUCGGCUAGGGGGCCAUCCCGGCUUACCAACCCGAUGCAAACUGCGAAUACCGGAGAAUGUUAUCACGGGAGACACACGGCGGGUGCUAACGUCCGUCGUGAAGAGGGAAACAACCCAGACCGCCAGCUAAGGUCCCAAAGUCAUGGUUAAGUGGGAAACGAUGUGGGAAGGCCCAGACAGCCAGGAUGUUGGCUUAGAAGCAGCCAUCAUUUAAAGAAAGCGUAAUAGCUCACUGGUCGAGUCGGCCUGCGCGGAAGAUGUAACGGGGCUAAACCAUGCAC
rnacentral:rRNA from 4 species